rnacentral:rRNA from 1 species
UCGGGAAUAUUGGUCAAUGGGCGAAAGCCUGAACCAGCCAUGCCGCGUGGAGGAUGAAGGCCUUCGGGUCGUAAACUCCUUUUCUGAGGGAAGAACCGCCUGGGGAGGAAAUGCCCUGGGUUUGACGGUACCUCAGGAAUAAGCAACGGCCAACUCCGUGCCAGCAGCCGCGGUAAUACGGAGGUUGCAAGCGUUGUUCGGAAUUACUGGGCGUAAAGGGAGCGCAGGCGGCCAAAUCAGUCUGAAGUGAAAUCCCGGAGCUUAACUCCGGACGUGCUUUGGAUACUGUUUGGCUUGAGUUCGCGAGAGGUAAGCGGAAUUCCAGGUGUAGCGGUGAAAUGCGUAGAUAUCUGGAGGAACAUCGGUGGCGAAAGCGGCUUACUGGCGCGAUACUGACGCUGAGGCUCGAAAGCGUGGGGAGCGAACGGG